rnacentral:rRNA from 1 species
GAUGAACGCUAGCUACAGGCUUAACACAUGCCAGUCGAGGGGAAACGACAUCGAAAGCUUGCUUUUGAUGGGCGUCGACCGGCGCACGGGUGAGUAACGCGUAUCCAACCUGCCCAUCACUUGGGAAUAACCUUGCGAAAGUAAGACUAAUACACAAUGAUAUCCCACGAAGGCAUCGGAAUGGGAUUAAAGAUUUAUCGGUGAUGGAUGGGGAUGCGUCUGAUUAGCUUGUUGGCGGGGUAACGGCCGACCAAGGCAACGAUCAGUAGGGGUUCUGAGAGGAAGGUCCCCGACAUUGGAACUGAGACACGGUCCAAACGCCUACGGGAGGCAGCAGUGAGGAAGAAUGGGAAAUGGGCGAGAGCCUGAACCAGCCAAGUAGCGUGCAGGAAGACGGCCCUAUGGGUUGUAAACUGCUUUUAGAAGGGAAGAAGGGGGGUCACGGGUGACUUUUUGCAUGUACCUUAUGAAUAAGGACCGGCUAAUUCCGUG